rnacentral:lncRNA from 1 species
CGCCUCUCCGAGACUUCUUUUCCUUCAUCCAAAGGUGGCUGCUGGCCAGGGCCAGUGAGGUGACAAGUUCAGGUUCUCAGCCCAGGGCUGUGGACUGUUACUGUGAGCGCGGCUGCUGUCACCUGCUUUCCAGGUGCCCGUUCCAGGCUGUCUGUGUCACUGUCCCUUGCCCAAUGUGCGUCCGGCCCUGCUUCUCUCCAUCUCUGUCUCUGUGUAUCUGAAAGUUCCUCCCAGAUUUAAUCAGCUCUGGCCCUGUCUCUUGUAUCUCCCCUCUGUCCCAAAGUUGGCCCCUGGCAAGUGGCAGGUUCCACUGGGCCAGGGUCACCAGCAGGAUCGACUGUCCCUGUGUCCCCAGGGCCAGUGCCUCUUUGAGCAGUGCAACUUCGAGGAUGCCCUGACGGUUCUCCCAGGCCUGGGAGCUCCAGCCCGAGAAGCAGCACUUCUGGUACCAGAGGUGAGUGCCCGGCCUGGCGCCCUCUCCCAGCAGCUCCUUCCUGCCUGCUGUGCCCACCUCGCCCUCUGCCGCCCGCAGCAUGGCCUGCCUCCUGGCCCUCCAGCGGCAUCACGACUGCCUGGCACUCAUCAACAAGCAGCUGAGGCAAGGGCAAGGCACGACCAACGCCGACCUCUACAUCCUCCGUGCCAGGAUCUACAACCUCUUCCAGACGGGGCAGAGGCUCCCGGCAGCCCUGCCCACUAAGCUGCCCGGCUGGGUGGCUGUCCCUUGUUACUUGGCUCUGGCUCUGUUCCAGCCCCGUGCUGGGCCCCAUGGAAACCACAGGUGAGGAACCCUGUCGUCCCUGCCUUCCUGCAGCUCUCAGCCCAGGGGAAACACCCUGAGCAGACAGGAGCACAAGGAACGAUUUAGCCUCAGUUGUUUGAAGUGCCAAGGGGAGGUGCCCUGGGGAACCUAAGGCAGCCUUUGCUCCUCCGGCUGUCUCUUCCCUCUCCCUCCCUCCCUCCCUCCCUUCCCAUUUGGCUCCAUGGACCCCUCCUCCCAGCCCCACACAGGCUGUGACACACACAGGGGAGGGAACAGCUCUGGGGCGAGGGAGCCAGUGUCCUGGGAGGAGGGAGGGGUGCUGGGCAGGGCAGGGAGGGUGCUGCAGU